rnacentral:rRNA from 1 species
GACGAACGCUGGCGGCGUGCUUAACACAUGCAAGUCGAACGGAGAAUAUAGCAAUAUAUUCUUAGUGGCGAACGGGUGAGUAACGCGUAGACAACCUGCCUUCUAGAUGGGGACAACGUUCCGAAAGGGACGCUAAUACCGAAUGUCCUGUCAAGUCCGCAUGGACUGGACAGCAAAGAUGGCCUCUGCAUAUGCUAUCGCUAGAAGAUGGGUCUGCGUCUGAUUAGCUGGUUGGUGAGGUAACGGCUCACCAAGGCGACGAUCAGUAGCCGGUCUGAGAGGAUGAACGGCCACACUGGGACUGAGACACGGCCCAGACUCCUACGGGAGGCAGCAGUGGGGAAUCUUCCGCAAUGGACGAAAGUCUGACGGAGCAACGCCGCGUGAGUGAAGAAGGUUUUCGGACCGUAAAACUCUGUCUUUUAGGGCGAACGUAUUGCUGGUGAACAAUCAGCGAUAGUGACGGUACUAAAGGAGGAAGCCACGGCUAACUACGUGCCAGCAGCCGCGGUAAUACGUAGGUGGCGAGCGUUGUCCGGAAUUACUGGGCGUAAAGGAUGCGUAGGCGGCCUCUUAAGUGGGAUGUGAAAUCCCGGGGCUUAACCCCGGAGCUGCAUUCCAUACUGGGAGGCUAGAGUGCAGGAGAGGAAAGCGGAAUUCCCAGUGUAGCGGUGAAAUGCGUAGAGAUUGGGAGGAACACCAGUGGCGAAGGCGGCUUUCUGGACUGUAACUGACGCUGAGGCAUGAAAGUGUGGGGAGCAAACAGGAUUAGAUACCCUGGUAGUCCACACCGUAAACGAUGGGCACUAGGUGUAGGGGGCGUAGCCCUCUGUGCCGCAGUUAACACAUUAAGUGCCCCGCCUGGGGAGUACGAUCGCAAGAUUAAAACUCAAAGGAAUUGACGGGGGCCCGCACAAGCAGCGGAGCAUGUGGUUUAAUUCGAAGCAACGCGAAGAACCUUACCAGGACUUGACAUCCACGGAAUCCUUAAGAGAUUAGGGAGUGCCCUUCGGGGGACCGUGAGACAGGUGGUGCAUGGUUGUCGUCAGCUCGUGUCGUGAGAUGUUGGGUUAAGUCCCGCAACGAGCGCAACCCUUGUUGCUAGUUGCCAUCAUUAAGUUGGGCACUCUAGCGAGACUGCCGAGGUUAACUCGGAGGAAGGUGGGGAUGACGUCAAAUCAUCAUGCCCUUUAUGUCCUGGGCUACACACGUGUUACAAUGGCUGGAACAAAGAGAAGCAAUACCGCGAGGUGGAGCAAAUCUCCAAAACCAGUCCCAGUUCGGAUUGUAGGCUGCAACCUGCCUACAUGAAGCUGGAGUUGCUAGUAAUCGUGGAUCAGAAUGCCACGGUGAAUGCGUUCCCGGGCCUUGUACACACCGCCCGUCACACCAUGAGAGUUGGCAAUACCCAAAGUCCGUGAGGUAACCGCAAGGAGCCAGCGGCCUAAGGUAGGGUCAGCGAUUGGGGUG